rnacentral:rRNA from 1 species
AGCGAACGUUUGCGGCGGGCCUAACACAUGCAAGUCGAACGGGCAGUCCCUUCGGGGGCUGUCAGUGGCGCACGGGUGCGUAACACGUAGGUAAUCAACCCUCGGGUUCGGGAUAACACUUCGAAAGGGGUGCUAAAUACCGGAUGCGACGAGCGUCUCCUCGGAGAUGCACGGGAAAGAUCCGCAAGGGUCGCCCGAGGACGAGCCUGCGGCCCAUCAGCUUGUUGGUGAGGUAAUGGCUCACCAAGGCUAAGACGGGUAGCUGGUCUGAGAGGAUGAUCAGUCACACUGGAACUGAGACACGGUCCAGACUCCUACGGGAGGCAGCAGUGGGGAAUAUUGCGCAAUGGGCGAAAGCCUGACGCAGCCACGCCGCGUGAGCGAUG